GGUUAAGUGACUAAGCGUACACGGUGGAUGCCUUGGCAGUCAGAGGCGAUGAAAGGCGUAAUAACUUGCGAUAAGCCCAGAUUAGGUAGUAAUAACCUUUUGAGUCUGGGAUUCCUGAAUGGGGAAACCCACUUGCAUAAGCAAGUAUCCUGUUGUGAAUACAUAGCAACAGGAGGCAAACCGGGGGAACUGAAACAUCUAAGUACCCCGAGGAAGAGAAAUCAACCGAGAUUCCGAAAGUAGCGGCGAGCGAAAUUGGAUUAGCCCUUAAGCUUUUAAUGAUGCAGGUGAAGAGUCUGGAAAGUCUCGCAAUAAAGGGUGAUAGCCCCGUAACCGACACAUCAUAAUCAGUGAAAACGAGUAGGGCGGGACACGUGAUAUCCUGUCUGAAUAUGGGGGGACCAUCCUCCAAGGCUAAAUACUACUGACUGACCGAUAGUGAACCAGUACCGUGAGGGAAAGGCGAAAAGAACCCCUGUGAGGGGAGUGAAAUAGAACCUGAAACCGUGUACGUACAAGCAGUAGGAGCACCUUCGUGGUGUGACUGCGUACCUUUUGUAUAAUGGGUCAGCGACUUAAUUUUAGUAGCAAGGUUAACCGUUUAGGGGAGCCGUAGGGAAACCGAGUCUUAACUGGGCGUACAGUUGCUAGGAUUAGACCCGAAACCAGGUGAUCUAGCCAUGGGCAGGUUGAAGGUUGAGUAACAUCAACUGGAGGACCGAACCGACUAAUGUUGAAAAAUUAGCGGAUGACUUGUGGCUAGGGGUGAAAGGCCAAUCAAACCUGGAGAUAGCUGGUUCUCCCCGAAAGCUAUUUAGGUAGCGCCUCGGACGAAUACUACUGGGGGUAGAGCACUGUUAAGGCUAGGGGGUCAUCCCGACUUACCAACCCUUUGCAAACUCCGAAUACCAGUAAGUACUAUCCGGGAGACACACGGCGGGUGCUAACGUCCGUCGUGGAGAGGGAAACAACCCAGACCGCCAGCUAAGGUCCCAAAGUAUAGCUAAGUGGGAAACGAUGUGGGAAGGCUCAGACAGCCAGGAUGUUGGCUUAGAAGCAGCCAUCAUUUAAAGAAAGCGUAAUAGCUCACUGGUCGAGUCGGCCUGCGCGGAAGAUGUAACGGGGCUAAGCUAUACACCGAAGCUGCGGCUACGUACCUUAGGGUAUGUGGGGUAGGGGAGCGUUCUGUAAGCCGUUGAAGGUGGUCUGUAAGGGCUGCUGGAGGUAUCAGAAGUGCGAAUGCUGACAUGAGUAACGAUAAAGGGAGUGAAAAACUCCCUCGCCGGAAGACCAAGGGUUCCUGUCCAACGUUAAUCGGGGCAGGGUAAGUCGACUCCUAAGGCGAGGCCGAAAGGCGUAGUCGAUGGGAAACGGGUUAAUAUUCCCGUACUUCUUACAAUUGCGAUGGGGGGACGGAGAAGGCUAGGUGGGCCUGGCGACGGUUGUCCAGGUUCAAGUA
rnacentral:rRNA from 1 species